CCCCUAGAUGUUCUGGGCCGCACGCGCGCUACACUGAACAGUUCAACAAGUCUUAACCUUGGCCGAUAGGUCUGGGUAAUCUUUGAACGCUGUUCGUGAUUGGGAUAGACCUUUGCAAUUAUGGGUCUUCAACGAGGAAUUCCUAGUAAACGCAAGUCAUCAGCUUGCAUUGAUUACGUCCCUGCCCUUUGUACACACCGCCCGUCGCACCUACCGAUUGAAUGGUCCGGUGAAAUCUCGGGACGGCGGCUCGGUCGCUUGCGUCCGACUGCUGAAACUUGAUUAAACCAUAUCAUUUAGAGGAAGGUGAGNUCGUANCA
rnacentral:rRNA from 1 species